rnacentral:rRNA from 1 species
GAGUUUGAUCAUGGCUCAGGAUUAACGCUGGCGGCAUGCCUAAUACAUGCAAGUCGAACGGAGUAGCAAUACUUAGUGGCGAACGGGUGAGUAACACGUAUCUAAUCUACCAUUUAGUGGGGAAUAACUGUUGGAAACGACAGCUAAUACCGCAUAAUAUUGCUGGAUAAUUUCCAGUAAUGAAAGGAGCUUUCAAGCUCCGCUGAUUGAUGAGGAUGCGGCGCAUUAGCUAGUUGGUAGGGUAAUGGCCUACCAAGGCAAUGAUGCGUAGCCGAUCUGAGAGGAUGAACGGCCACAUUGGGACUGAGACACGGCCCAAACUUCUACGGAAGGCAGCAGUAGGGAAUUUUUCACAAUGGGCGAAAGCCUGAUGGAGCAAUGCCGCGUGACUGAUGAAGGUCUUCGGAUUGUAAAGGUCUGUUGUAAGGGAAGAAAUGGUAAAACAGGAAAUGGUUUUAUCUAUGACGGUACCUUACCAGAAAGCCACGGCUAACUAUGUGCCAGCAGCCGCGGUAAUACAUAGGUGGCAAGCGUUAUCCGGAUUUAUUGGGCGUAAAGGGUGCGUAGACGGUUUUGCAAGUCUGAGGUUAAAUUUAGGAGCUCAACUCCUAAUCGCCUUGGAAACUACAAGACUAGAGUAUAGGAGAGGUUAGUGGAAUUUCCAUGUGUAGCGGUGGAAUGUGUAGAUAUAUGGAGGAC